CCCUUAGAGUUUGAUCCUGGCUCAGGAUGAACGCUAGCUACAGGCUUAACACAUGCAAGUCGAGGGGCAUCAGGAAGAAAGCUUGCUUUCUUUGCUGGCGACCGGCGCACGGGUGAGUAACACGUAUCCAACCUGCCCUUUACUCGGGGAUAGCCUUUCGAAAGAAAGAUUAAUACCCGAUAGUAUAAUGAUUCCGCAUGGUUUCAUUAUUAAAGGAUUCCGGUAAAGGAUGGGGAUGCGUUCCAUUAGGUUGUUGGUGAGGUAACGGCUCACCAAGCCUUCGAUGGAUAGGGGUUCUGAGAGGAAGGUCCCCCACAUUGGAACUGAGACACGGUCCAAACUCCUACGGGAGGCAGCAGUGAGGAAUAUUGGUCAAUGGGCGUUAGCCUGAACCAGCCAAGUAGCGUGAAGGAUGAAGGCUCUACGGGUCGUAAACUUCUUUUAUAUAAGAAUAAAGUGCAGUAUGUAU
rnacentral:rRNA from 1 species